GUCUCUGUGGCUCAAUUGGUUUUAGCCGCGUUAGACUGUUAAUCUAAAGGUUGGUGGUUCGAGCCCACCCAGGGACG